CGACCGGCGCACGGGUGAGUAACGCGUAUGCAACCUACCUAUCAGGAGGGGAUAACCCGGCGAAAGUCGGACUAAUACCGCAUAAAACAGGGGUUCCACAUGGAAAUAUUUGUUAAAGAAUUAUCGCUGAUAGAUGGGCAUGCGUUCCAUUAGAUAGUUGGUGAGGUAACGGCUCACCAAGUCCACGAUGGAUAGGGGUUCUGAGAGGAAGGUCCCCCACACUGGUACUGAGACACGGACCAA
rnacentral:rRNA from 1 species